rfam:Larimichthys crocea isolate SSNF unplaced genomic scaffold scaffold324, whole genome shotgun sequence.
UUUUUAUCAGUGGCAGUGCCCACUAUAAACU